AACCUGGUUGAUCCUGCCAGUAGUCAUAUGCUUGUCUCAAAGACUAAGCCAUGCAUGUCUAAGUAUAAGUGUUAUACAGCGAAACUGCGAAUGGCUCAUUAAAACAGUUAUAGUUUAUUUGGUAAUCGAAAUUACAUGGAUAACCGUGGUAUCUUCUAGAGCUAAUACAUGCAGGUUAGCCCGACUUUGCGGAAGGGCUGUAUUUAUUAGAUAACAGACCAAUAUUCCUCGUGUCUAUUGUGGUGACUCAUAGUAACUGAUCGGAUCGCAUGGCUUUGCCGCGACAAACCAUUCAAGUUUCUGACCCAUCAGCUUUCGAUGGUAGUGUAUUGGACUACCAUGGCUUUCACGGGUAACGGAGGAUUAGGGUUCGAUUCCGGAGAGGGAGCCUGAGAAACGGCUACCACAUCUAAGGAAGGCAGCAGGCGCGUAAAUUACCCAAUCCUGACUCAGGGAGGUAGUGACAAGAAAUAACGGGUCGGGGCAUUCGCCUCGGGAUUGCAAUGAAUCGAAUUUACACCCCUUAAUGAGGAUCAAUUGGAGGGCAAGUCUGGUGCCAGCAGCCGCGGUAAUUCCAGCCCCAAUGGCGUAUAU
rnacentral:rRNA from 1 species